CCUACGGGAGGCAGCAGUGAGGAAUAUUGGUCAAUGGACGAGAGUCUGAACCAGCCAAGUAGCGUGAAGGAUGACUGCCCUACGGGUUGUAAACUUCUUUUAUAUGGGAAUAAAAUGUUCCACGUGUGGCUUUUUGUCUGUACCUUAUGAAUAAGGAUCGGCUAACUCCGUGCCAGCAGCCGCGGUAAUACGGAGGAUCCGAGCGUUAUCCGGAUUUAUUGGGUUUAAAGGGAGCGUAGGUGGGUUGUUAAGUCAGUUGUGAAAGUUUGCGGCUCAACCGUAAAAUUGCAGUUGAAACUGGCAGUCUUGAGUACAGUAGAGGUGGGCGGAAUUCGUGGUGUAGCGGUGAAAUGCUUAGAUAUCACGAAGAACUCCGAUUGCGAAGGCAGCUCACUGGACUGCAACUGACACUGAGGCUCGAAAGUGUGGGUAUCAAACAGGAUUAGAUACCCGUGUAGUC
rnacentral:rRNA from 1 species